GGCUUAGGCCGUAGGCUUGUGAGCCAUUACUUCAAAGGAUAACUACAAAUUUAAAAAUAAUUUCGACGUUAAACAGAAGGACAACAACCUAUCCACAAUCUGGACCACUAAAGGACAGCUUUCAAACAAAUGUAGAUGAUAAACAAAAAGGACAUUUGUACAGUCAAAGAACAUAUAACUGCUUCUAACAGAACAUAGCAAUAAAGAAUAAAAAAUAUCUGGCAAUAUAGGAACACAGGAAUCACAACAAACAAAAACAUCAGAGAAAAGGUAAAAUAAGUAAAUGAGGAUGAGAAAGGAAAAAAAAAGAAGACGGGGAACACCAUGCAGCGGCUUCACGAAAGCACUAAUCAUAUGCAUCUUUCACACAAUGUGCUACUGCAUGGCUGAAGUGGACAUACAUAUAUUUACAGGAUGUGGACAAGGCCAUUUUGCUCAGAUUCCAUUUCAUCUUUUACUGACUUUGUUUGAUACUCACAAUCAAGCUGAGGGGAGUGUGGUUCACGUCUUGGAGGUGUGUCCAAAAUUUGGAGUGUGGGGCCCGAACAUACUGUCGAUAAUCUUUGUGGCGGGGUAGCCUGCUGUGGUUGGCCCUGGACAUCAGACCUUGCUUUCUUUGCUGCCCCAUUUUUUUUGCCUGUUGUGUUACUGAAGUCCAACUUCUGCUGCUCCAGACUUCUUUUGAUGGACCUAGUAUUGAAAGUGAAAUGUUGUUAUGACCAUUCCUUUACAAACAUACCCUAUACUACAAUGGACACUUUACCUGCUUCCGCCGAGUCAACAUCAUCAAAUGUAAUGGGAGUUACUGUCGGACAACCAGUACUGCUUUUUUCCAACACUGUAAAACCAAAAUAAGAAAUCAUGUAAUCAUGCUAUUGUGGAUACAUCCACCCAUUAUGCUUAUAAACAUUAAUUAAAUAAAAAGAGCGUGUUUUGCAUUUUAAAAAAACAUAAGGACCGUAAACCAAUAAACCACUACAUAAAACAAUAAAGAUUGUCCUAUAGCCAUAUGCACUAUGGAAAGUGCAACACAGGAAAACAUGUACAGGACACAGACAUAGGACACAAGUCAAAAUACAGUCAAUAACAACCAAAAGCACACACAUCUUCAUUUGGUAAUGAAAGGUCAAAUAUUACAUAUGCAAUAUAGAAAUUGCUCUGUGAUGUGGCACUCCAUACACACAUUACCACUAUAUGAGGCAACCAAAAAUACAACACCAAAAAAAAAAACAGUGUUGUAUCUGGGUACAAAUACAGCCUCAAACUGAACAAACAAAUAGUGUUUUUUUGUCAAAAAAGAAAACAUUCAGUAAUAAGGACAUUACACAUGUAAGUGGUUUUAAAACCACUUUCCACUACUCCAGCCUCUAACAUGAUAACCACAGUUUUAACAACAUUGCACAUGGAUAACAUAAAUCUCAAACCUAGUCAAAAUGUAAACUUUCAAAAUG